rnacentral:rRNA from 1 species
AGAGUUUGAUCCUGGCUCAGGAUGAACGCUAGCGGGAGGCCUAACACAUGCAAGCCGAGCGGUAUUGUUUCUUCGGAAAUGAGAGAGCGGCGUACGGGUGCGGAACACGUGUGCAACCUGCCUUUAUCUGGGGGAUAGCCUUUCGAAAGGAAGAUUAAUACUCCAUAAUAUAUUGAUUGGCAUCAAUUAAUAUUGAAAGCUCCGGCGGAUAGAGAUGGGCACGCGCAAGAUUAGCUAGUUGGUGAGGUAACGGCUCACCAAGGCGAUGAUCUUUAGGGGGCCUGAGAGGGUGAUCCCCCACACUGGUACUGAGACACGGACCAGACUCCUACGGGAGGCAGCAGUGAGGAAUAUUGGUCAAUGGGUGCAAGCCUGAACCAGCCAUCCCGCGUGAAGGACGACUGCCCUAUGGGUUGUAAACUUCUUUUGUAUAGGGAUAAACCUAUCCUCGUGAGGGUAGCUGAAGGUACUAUACGAAUAAGCACCGGCUAACUCCGUGCCAGCAGCCGCGGUAAUACGGAGGGUGCAAGCGUUAUCCGGAUUUAUUGGGUUUAAAGGGUCCGUAGGCGGACUUAUAAGUCAGUGGUGAAAGCCUGUCGCUUAACGAUAGAACUGCCAUUGAUACUGUAAGUCUUGAGUAUAUUUGAGGUAGCUGGAAUAAGUAGUGUAGCGGUGAAAUGCAUAGAUAUUACUUAGAACACCAAUUGCG